AGUAAAUAGAUACCCGGGUAGUCCACGCCGUAAACGAUGAGUACUAGGUGUAGGAGGUAUCGACUCCUUCUGUGCCGCAGUUAAACACAAUAAGUACUCCGCCUGGGAAGUACGGUCGCAAGAUUAAAACUCAAAGGAAUUGACGGGGGCCCGCACAAGCAGCGGAGCAUGUGGUUUAAAUUCGAAGCAACGCGAAGAACCUUACCUAGACUUGACAUCCCCUGAAUAACGUAGAGAUACGCGAAGCCCUUCGGGGCAGGGAGACAGGUGGUGCAUGGUUGUCGUCAGCUCGUGUCGUGAGAUGUUGGGUUAAGUCCCGCAACGAGCGCAACCCUUAUCAUUAGUUGCUACCAUUUAGUUGAGCACUCUAGUGAGACUGCCCGGGUUAACCGGGAGGAAGGCGGGGAUGACGUCAAAUCAUCAUGCCCCUUAUGUCUAGGGCUACACACGUGCUACAAUGGUGAGAACAACGAGAUGCAAUACCGCGAGUGGAGCAAAACUUCAAAACUCAUCUCAGUUCGGAUUGUAGGCUGAAACUCGCC
rnacentral:rRNA from 1 species